rnacentral:rRNA from 1 species
AUGAGGUUUCAAACCUACUUGGCCGUCCCACCCAAGCUGACAAUGUUCCGCGUCCCAAGGUCCAUCGACGAGGGCGCCAUCGACAUCCUCACCAGAUGGCAAGAUAUCGCGCCGGCUCUCCCGGAAGACCUCUUCAUAAGGGUGGUCGUCUCGAAGCAGGUGGCCGAGUUCCAGUCCAUGUACCUGGGCACCUGCGACGCGCUGCUGCCAUUGAUGCGCAGCCACUUCCCGGAGCUCCGCCUGAACCGGACGCACUGCAGGGAGAUGACGUGGAUCCAGUCCGUGCCAUACAUCUACCUGGACAGCACCGCCACCGUGGAGGACAUCCUCAACCGGACCACCUCCUUGGACACCUUCAACAAGGCCAAGUCCGACUUCGUCCACCGUGCCAUCGCCAGGGACGUGUGGAUCAAGAUCUUCGCCUGGCUCGCCAAACCCGACGCCGGGCUCAUGAUCAUGGACCCUUACGGCGGCCAGAUCGGCAGCCUCCCGGAGUCGGCGCCCCCGUUCCCGCACCGUGCAGGCGUGCUCUACAACAUUCAGUACAUGAACUUCUGGUCGGCCGCCACCGACGGGUCAGCGCAGACCAGGUGGCUUAAGGACUUCUAUGCCUUCAUGGCGCCCUACGUGAGCAAGAACCCCAGGGAGGCGUACGUGAACUACAGGGACCUCGACCUCGGCAUGAACGUCGUUGUGGGCAACGUCACCAGCUACACGGCCGCUAAGGUUUGGGGCGACAAGUACUACAAGGGCAACUUCAAGAGGCUCGCCAUGGCCAAGGGCAAGGUGGAUCCUAGCGACUACUUUAGGAACGAGCAGAGCAUCCCACCAUUAGUGGCGACAAAGUGA